rnacentral:rRNA from 2 species
UUUAAUGUUUGAUGUUCUAACGUGGACCCGUGAUCCGGGUUGCGGACAGUGUCUGGUGGGUAGUUUGACUGGGGCGGUCUCCUCCUAAAGAGUAACGGAGGAGCACGAAGGUUGGCUAAUCCUGGUCGGACAUCAGGAGGUUAGUGCAAUGGCAUAAGCCAGCUUGACUGCGAGCGUGACGGCGCGAGCAGGUGCGAAAGCAGGUCAUAGUGAUCCGGUGGUUCUGAAUGGAAGGGCCAUCGCUCAACGGAUAAAAGGUACUCCGGGGAUAACAGGCUGAUACCGCCCAAGAGUUCAUAUCGACGGCGGUGUUUGGCACCUCGAUGUCGGCUCAUCACAUCCUGGGGCUGAAGUAGGUCCCAAGGGUAUGGCUGUUCGCCAUUUAAAGUGGUACGCGAGCUGGGUUUAGAACGUCGUGAGACAGUUCGGUCCCUAUCUGCCGUGGGCGCUGGAGAACUGAGGGGGGCUGCUCCUAGUACGAGAGGACCGGAGUGGACGCAUCACUGGUGUUCGGGUUGUCAUGCCAAUGGCACUGCCCGGUAGCUAAAUGCGGAAGAGAUAAGUGCUGAAAGCAUCUAAGCACGAAACUUGCCCCGAGAUGAGUUCUCCCUGAGACUUAGAGUCUCCUGAAGGAACGUUGAAGACGACGACGUUGAUAGGCCGGGUGUGUAAGCGCAGCGAUGCGUUGAGCUAACCGGUACUAAUGAACCGUGAGGCUUAACCUUACAACGCCGAAG